UACGGAGGGGACUAGCGUUGUUCGGAAUUACUGGGCGUAAAGCGCACGUAGGCGGAUUUGUUAGUCAGGGGUGAAAUCCCGAGGCUCAACCUCGGAACUGCCUUUGAUACUGCAAAUCUCGAGUCCGGAAGAGGUGAGUGGAAUUCCUAGUGUAGAGGUGAAAUUCGUAGAUAUUAGGAAGAACACCAGUGGCGAAGGCGGCUCACUGGGCCGGUACUGACGCUGAGGUGCGAAAGCGUGGGGAGCAAACAGG
rnacentral:rRNA from 1 species